rnacentral:rRNA from 1 species
UACGUAGGGUGCGAGCGUUGUCCGGAAUUAUUGGGCGUAAAGGGCUCGUAGGCGGUUUGUCGCGUCGGGAGUGAAAACCAUGGGCUUAACUCAUGGCUUGCUUCCGAUACGGGCAGACUAGAGGUAUGCAGGGGAGAACGGAAUUCCUGGUGUAGCGGUGAAAUGCGCAGAUAUCAGGAGGAACACCGGUGGCGAAGGCGGUUCUCUGGGCCUUACCUGACGCUGAGGAGCGAAAGCGUGGGGAGCGAACAGG